UACGUAGGGACCAAGCGUUGUUCGGAUUUACUGGGCGUAAAGGGCGCGUAGGCGGCAAUUCAAGUCAUCUGUGAAAUCUCCGGGCUUAACUCGGAACGGUCAGAUGAUACUGCUUUGCUAGAGUGCGGAAGGGGCAAUCGGAAUUCUUGGUGUAGCGGUGAAAUGCGCAGAUAUCAGGAGGAACACCGGUGGCGAAGGCGGAUCUCUGGGCCUGUUCUGACGCUGGGGUGCGAAAGCGUGGGGAGCAAACAGG
rnacentral:rRNA from 1 species